rnacentral:rRNA from 1 species
AGCUAAUAGAUACCCGGGUAGUCCACGCCCUAAACGAUGUCUACUAGUUGUUGGUGGAGUAAAAUCCAUGAGUAAACGCAGCUAAACGCGUGAAGUAGACCGCCUGGGGAGUACGGUCGCAAGAUUAAAACUCAAAGGAAUUGACGGGGGCCCGGCACAAGCGGUGGAUUAUGUGGAUUAAAUUCGAUGCAACGCGAAAAACCUUAACCUGGCCUUGACAUGCCGCUAACGAAGCAGAGAUGCAUUAGGUGCCCGUAAGGGAAAGUGGACACAGGUGCUGCAUGGCUGUCGUCAGCUCGUGUCGUGAGAUGUUGGGUUAAGUCCCGCAACGAGCGCAACCCUUGCCAUUAAUUGCCAUCAUUU